UGCAUAUCAAUAAGCGGAGGAAAAGAAACUAACAAGGAUUCCCCUAGUAACGGCGAGUGAAGCGGGAAGAGCUCAAAUUUGAAAUCUGGCGGCAUCCUGUCGUCCGAGUUGUAAUCUAUAGAAGUGUUUUCCGCGUCGGACCAUGUACAAGUCCCUUGGAACAGGGCGUCAUAGAGGGUGAGAAUCCCGUCCUUGACAUGAUCUCCGGUGCUAUGUGAUACACUUUCAACGAGUCGAGUUGUUUGGGAAUGCAGCUCAAAAUGGGUGGUGAAUUCCAUCUAAAGCUAAAUAUUGGCGAGAGACCGAUAGCGAACAAGUACCGUGAGGGAAAGAUGAAAAGCACUUUGGAAAGAGAGUUAAACAGUACGUGAAAUUGUUGAAAGGGAAACGAUUGAAGUCAGUCAUGCUCUUUGGGUUAAGCCUUUCGGGGUGUAUUCCAUUGAGUGGGGUCAACAUCAGUUUUGACCGCUGGAAAAAGGCACGAGGAAGGUAGCACUCUCGGGUGAACUUAUAGCCUCGCGUCAUAUACAGUGGUUGGGACUGAGGAACGCAGCAUGCCUUAUGGCCGGGAUUCGUCCACGUACAUGCUUAGGAUGUUGACAUAAUGGCUUUAAACGACCCGUCUUGAAACACGGACCA
rnacentral:rRNA from 1 species